AUUUUUUUGUAAACUGUACUGAUGGUUUUGCUAGUUAUGCCAUAGGUUGUUGAUAACUCGCGUUUGUUCAGCUAAUUUCAUUAUUUCUUUUAUAGCCAUUAAUGUGUUAUCAUGGUCAUUGACGUGAACAAAAGCAAACUGUUAUUUUUACAGCAUCCAGUAAAAAUACCCAUAUUGUAAAUCACACGGGUACUACUGCUCUAAUGUUUGAUCAAGAAUGCAUCUAAUGGAUAAUCAAACUAGUGGUUUCACUCAAUUGAUUUUUGCAUAUAUAGGUAGGUGUACCUAGAGAUUGAGCUGGAGACAGUGAAGGUGCUGACCUCUGUGUGGAACACUUAGAAGCUGGCAAGUUUUCAUAUUGAAGGGUAUGGUUCCCAACCGCCCAUCACACACAGAAUGAAGCUUGUCGUCUUCCGCAGUAAAAACUGGGUGCUGGAAGAUGCUUACUGCUAUAUUGACUGCUUCCGAGCGCUUCCUGGACCUAAAAAUUAUCUCCCAGCAGCAACCUCCCCAAGGUGUGACGAGAGUCUUCAAGGUCAAAGGUCCUAGGCCACUAAGAAAUAUUUCUUUUAAAUCUCACUCAAAUGGUGACCAUAUUGUUUCAAUAUGCAGAGUUUGGAUUUGGCAUCACUCAAUAAUAGCGUCAUUAAACCGUUUCUGACGAACUUCCUACAUACCCAAACGCUUGACACCGUAUAGAAAACUAAGUUUUCGUAGCUGAUGAUACAUCCACAAGAAAAUUGAAAUGCAAAUGGUACUACACAGUCAAAAGUAUACCAAUGGAAAGAUCUAGGAUCCCAAAAGGUGCCUGGUGCUGCUAAAGAAGUGAAGCAGUGUGGAAAUUCGGAACAGACGAUGACAUUUUCUGAUUAUGUGUUAUAUCAAGGGUAUUUGUAAGUAAAAUGUAUUUAAUUACAGGUGUAAGCACAUGUGCUUCGUGAGUGUUGUUAUCGAAUACUUGACAAAAUUAAUUAAAGUUUGGAGGAUAUUCAUCAUUUCAAUGUUGAUGCCUUAAAGGGACAGGAGCGAUGAACAAAAAAAAAAGGAGCUGGGUGAAGCUACCUCCUAUUUUGCUCUACGUUUUCCCUAAGUAUUCCAAGUUUGUUUGAGCCUAUACAUUGUGAAAUGUGUUUUGUUAUUAUGAAACCGGUUAACGUCGAAUAGACGCGAUUUAUAUGGGUAAUGAUUUUAGAUAGAAACGAAUUGAGCAAAUUACAAAAUUACAAGGCCCGGUCAGACCGACUUACGAAUAUGCAACGUAGAAAAAACGCACAAAAAUGCAGAUUUUGAUUAUCCGGUGAUGAAAUUACCUGCUUUGUCGCUCAAGAUUCUCGCAAACGGUGUGUGAAGCGUAGGAAACACACAAUUACCGCACAAGUACCGGUGCUAUAACGGGAAAAAACGAACGUUUAACGGAAAUGUACCUGAUAAUUAACGGUCGGCUAACGGAUAUGACUGUGCGAGUAAAGGACUUCUACCGGAUAAAACGGCAGUGAAAUGCAUUAGUACCGGACAAAACGUUCGCCCAACGUGAGAGAAACGGAAAAGUACCGAACACCAACGUACAACGUACAACGAUGAAAAAGUAGGGCACAUCCUCAGAAUCAUGUGGCAAAACUUCAGGUUCUGGCAGGUUAAGGUCUCCGUUCUCAGCUGCUGCCUUCAGGUCGGAAUCGUUCCACAACUGUGCAUCGGAUGCAGCAACACGGCCUCCAAUGUCAGCCCAGACGAACUUGUACUCAGAAUCCUACAGGGCUAGCAGGACAACGGUUAAGUACUUCUUGUAAUUAAAAUACGUAGACCCGGAUCUUGGUGGACAUUUGCAAGCAAUAUGUUCGCCAUCAAUAGCACCAAGAGUAUGGGGGAUAUUCCAGCUGUCCCUGAAGCCGUCCGCUAUUCGCGUGCAAUCGGCAGCUGUUGUUGGCAACGACAUCACCUCGUCAGCAUACUCAUCUAUGACUGCUCUACAGACCUGACGCGUAAAAGAUAACAGUAUAAUAAGCUCGCGUGGAUUAUAAGUGUAUGACACAUGUAGUAGAUAAUCCAUGACUUUUAGCGAGUGGAUGAUAAAGUAAAAAUAUACUACUUCAUAAAAUGUUCUUAUAACUGUGUGCAUUUCAAGAUAUGCGCACAAGACAGUACUAAUUACAACAUACAAUUUAGAAGGUUAGUGUUGUAAUGCGCGCACUCAUCUAUUUGCCUUUUAUCCUAUACCAAUAACUUAACACAAUGCAAUUCAUAUAAACUGAUGCUAGACGUAGACAUUAAAAUAUAUAAAAAUAUUAAAAUGACUAACAGAA